GACGAACGCUGGCGGCGUGCUUAACACAUGCAAGUCGAACGGUAAGGCCCCAGCUUGCUGGGGUACACGAGUGGCGAACGGGUGAGUAACACGUGGGUGACCUGCCCCGCACUUCGGGAUAAGCCCGGGAAACUGGGGCUAAUACCGGAUAGGACCUCACCCUGCGGGGUGGGGGGAGAGUUGUUCGGUGGGGGAUGGGCGCGCGGCCUAUCAGCUUGUUGGUGGGGUAGUGGCCUACCAAGGCGGGGACGGGUAGCCGGCCUGAGAGGGUGGACGGCCACAUUGGGACUGAGAUACGGCCCAGACUCCUACGGGAGGCAGCAGUGGGGAAUAUUGCACAAUGGGCGGAAGCCUGAUGCAGCGACGCCGCGUGGGGGAUGACGGCCUUCGGGUUGUAAACUCCUUUCGCCAGUGACGAAGGUUUUCUGACGGUAGAUGGAGAAGAAGCACCGGCUAACUACGUG
rnacentral:rRNA from 1 species